UACAGAGGUGGCAAGCGUUGUUAGGAAUUACUGGGCGUAAAGGGCGCGUAGGCGGUCCGAAAAGUCCCGCGUGAAAUCCCCCGGCUCAACUGGGGUACUGCGCGGGUAACUGCCAGGGUGGAGUUCGUGAGAGGGUAGCGGAAUUCCGGGUUUAGCGGUGAAAUGCGUAGAUAUCCGGAGGAACACCGGUGGCGAAGGUGGCUUCCUGGACCGAGACUGACGCUGAGGCGCGAAAGCUAGGGGAGUAAACGGG
rnacentral:rRNA from 1 species